GAUUAUCGGCGGAUGUCGCAUCGGUAUAUUGGCAUUCGUGUCAUUUAAACCGUUUCAUAAAUCAAUGAAUGACGUGGCGCGCCUUAACUUGAUGAAACGGAAAUGAAAUCUUCCUGAAGAGGAAGAGCCGCGAAAAAGCAACAUACUUGUCGGAAUAUAAAGUUACAUUAUUUUUCGCACUUUCACAUCGUACGUGUAUAAUUGAAGAGCUAAUUAAUGAUUUCUACUAAAAUGAUGGAAACUCUUAUGAUCGAAAUGAGUUGUCUCGAACUUGAAGGAUGCAGGCAGCAAGAAAAUUGCUUCCUAGAAUUCGUGAAUAUAAAAAGAACAGAUCGAUGAUCGCGUCCAGUUAAUAACGGCUAUUAACUCUUGACUGUCGACGCCAAAUACAAGGUAUCCUGAUCUCACUAAACUAAAUUAUCCGCGAAUGACACAUCCUCUUCGACAAACAUGGAAUUUAUUUUACAAAAUUUAACACAAGACUAACAUUCAGUAUCAUAAACAUUACAAGUUCUAAAAAAAUACAAUUUAAAAAAUAAAAAAAGAUAGAUCUUGA